CAGUUCAAUUCUUGGUUAAAAAAAUUCUGAGAUGUUACACUAGUAUUACAUUAUUUGAAGAGUUCUUUUUUUUAAAAAAAAUUAUUAAAGUGAGCUUGAAGAUCCAUUUAUCGAAAAAUAAUACUCGUAGUUUCUACAAAAAAUAAAAAGAGCCCAUAUGGCUCAUUUCCUAAAAGAAACUAAGACAUAAAAAAAUGAAAAGAAAAACAAAAGAAAUAGAGUGAAAAGCAACUGAAAAGCAGAAUAGAUAGCAUUCUCAAAGCUGUAGCUGAAACGCUGUUCCGCCAAGGUUCUUGUCGUCUUCUCCAGUGAACACCAAGGUGGAGAAGUGGAGAAAUGGGGAAGUGGCGAAGUGGAGAAGUUACUUCAACUACCCAUUACCUCUUCCAACAAUCCAUUAUUUCCACUACUCACCAUGAUGGAAAAGUGAGAAUGAUGUUAAAAUACACUCUAUUAAAAAGGGUCCUCUCUCUGCCAUAAAUAUAUAGUCUUAUCCAUCAAAGCUAUACAUAAAGUGUAAGGCAAGAGAGACAAACAACUUCUAAAGAACCAAAAGAAAAGACUUUCGUUCAAUCAUGUCAAAGAUUAUAAUAACAGAUUCAGACACAGGUAACCAGGAUCAGCACGCAGCACUUCGUUGAUGAAGAUUGAGCUCCAAAGUCAAUGGUGGGCCUCCUUGCAAUCAGGAGGAUAUCCAUUUCAUUUGCUUUAGUAGUCUAGUUUUAGGAUGUUAUGGGGUCUAUCACAACAUCCCUCUUCAAUUAGUUUAGACGCUUCGCAUACUCUUAGUAGUUCAGUUUGGUGUUAUUUUACUUGUUGAGACUCAAGUGUCAUUUUGGCCAGAUUAAUUUAUGAGGUAUUUGUUUUAAAAUAUGCUUUUUU